rnacentral:rRNA from 1 species
AGUAACGCGUGGGUAACCGUAGCCUCAUACAGGGGGAUAACAGUUGGAAACGACUGCUAAUACCGCAUAAGCGCACAGGACCGCAUGAUCCGGUGUGAAAAACUCCGGUGGUAUGAGAUGGAUCCGCGUCUGAUUAGCCAGUUGGCAGGGUAACGGCCUACCAAAGCGACGAUCAGUAGCCGACCUGAGAGGGUGACCGGCCACAUUGGGACUGAGACACGGCCCAA